UCCGGGGGAUUUGGGAAAAUCCAGGGGAUUUGGGAUCAUCCCAGGGGAUUUGGGACCAUCCUGGGGGAUUUGGGAUUGUCCCCAGGAAUUUGGGAUUGUCCCCAGGAAUUUGGGAUUGUCUGGAUUCACAGGAAAACCCAGGGAAUUUUGGAAAACCCAGGGGAUUUGGGAAAAGACAGGGAAUUUGGGAAAAUCCGGGGGAUUUGGGAAAAUCCAGGGGAUUUGGGAUCAUCCCAGGGGAUUUGGGACCAUCCUGGGGGAUUUGGGAUUGUCCCCAGGAAUUUGGGAUUGUCUGGAUUCACAGGAAAACCCAGGGAAUUCGAGAAAAUCCAGGGAAUUCGGGAAAAUCCAGGGAAUUUGGGAUCAUCCCAGGGGAUUUGGGACCAUCUGGAUUCACAGGAAACUUGGUGGGAAUUAUGGGAUUGGUGGAUAAUUAUGGGAAUGAUGGAAAUGAUGGGAUUUAUAGGAUGGGAAUGAUGGGAUGGGAUUUAGGAAACUUGGUGGGAAUUAUGGGAUUGGUGGAUAAUUAUGGGAAUGAUGGAAAUGAUGGGAUUUAUAGGAUGGGAAUGAUGGGAUGGGAUUUAGGGGAACGAUGAGACCAGACCCCCCCUCACCGUCCCCUCCCGCCGCAGCGAUCCCGGCCUCCGCAGCCGAGGCCGCCGCCGCCCUGCGCGCCUCCUCCUCCUGCCGCUGCCGCUGCUCCUCCAUGGACACGCGCAGCGCCUGGAAAAAACCCCAAAUCGCGGAUUUUAUGGGAUCCUGAUGCUAGAGACUCCCAAUCCCAUAGGAUUUUAAUGCAGGUAACACCAAAUUCCUGAGGAUUUUGGUGGAAUUCUGGGAUCCCUACCAGCGCCAGCUCAGGGUCAGCGCUUGGAUCCACCCCGAACUCGAAGUCAGAAGCCCCCAGGCCCGGCAGGGAUGGGGGAAUUGGGACGUGGAUGGGGAAAUUGCGAGAUUCCAGAUUUUAUGGGAUUUUGGUGCUGAAAACACUGAAUUUUUGGGAGCUCCAUGAUCCCUACCAGUGCCAGCUCGGGGUCAGCACCGGGAUCCACC
rnacentral:lncRNA from 12 species